GGGGGCGACUUGGCUUCGACGUGGAUCACAAAGUCUGGGGAGCAUGUAGUGGGUGUGAUGACCACUUAAACACUAGUCACAAACAAUAGUCGCAAACGACGACUCUUACGCUCUCGCUGCUUAAUAACCAGUCGAUAGCUGUCUGACCGGUGCUGUGCUUGUGCGGCCGGAAUUUCAGGCAUCAUCCUGACACAAGAUCGUGCGGGAGGCUCGCCCAAGGCCAAACCACCAAAUAGUAUUGGGACAGCCCGUGAGCAGCCUGUCAGUCGGCGGCAAGCGGGUUAAACAAAAGACUCGACUAAACAUGUAGUAGCCUUCAGAUGGAGGGUUUGCGGACGCGGGUUCAAUUCCCGCCGCCUCCACCA
rnacentral:tmRNA from 1 species